rnacentral:rRNA from 1 species
GACGAACGCUGGCGGCGUGCCUAAUACAUGCAAGUAGAACGCACAGUUUAUACCGUAGCUUGCUACACCAUAGACUGUGAGUUGCGAACGGGUGAGUAACGCGUAGGUAACCUGCCUGGUAGCGGGGGAUAACUAUUGGAAACGAUAGCUAAUACCGCAUAAUAUUAAUUACUGCAUGAUAAUUAAUUGAAAGGUGCAAUUGCACCACUACCAGAUGGACCUGCGUUGUAUUAGCUAGUAGGUGAGGUAACGGCUCACCUAGGCGACGAUACAUAGCCGACCUGAGAGGGUGAUCGGCCACACUGGGACUGAGACACGGCCCAGACUCCUACGGGAGGCAGCAGUAGGGAAUCUUCGGCAAUGGACGAAAGUCUGACCGAGCAACGCCGCGUGAGUGAAGAAGGUUUUCGGAUCGUAAAGCUCGGUUGUAAGAGAAGAACGGGUGUGAGAGUGGAAAGUUCACACUGUGACGGUAUCUUACCAGAAAGGGACGGCUAACUACGUG